CUUUUCAUUUCCGCCACUACUGUGCUGUGUACGCUCUUAUGCUCUCAGUUCUGGUCUUCUGGAAUAUGUUAUUAAGAUGGAGAUCCAUGCAUUUUGCAGUCCCAGGACUUAAGUCGGAAUUGUGAUAGCUGGCAGUUUAGUGCAAAAUUCCGGGCAGAGAGAAUAGGAGCAAAAUUUAGAGAACUGCCUCAAAAGAUUGUGCUAAAAACUAAUAUACUUGGAAGAAAGUGAAAUGGAAAUACUAUGAUCAAAAGCACACAUUUUAAGCAGAAACAUGGAAUAAGUUAUUUAAGAUGAGGAAGAGAGGAAUCAGUGGACAGAUUCAAGAAAUAUGCAGCACUUACUUGUCUCUUGAAUGAUAGAUAUGAGCUUGCCAAUUGGAUAAGGGAAGAUGAACAUUUCAGACAAAACAUACUGCACAUUCUUGACA
rnacentral:lncRNA from 1 species